rnacentral:lncRNA from 1 species
UGGAAAAAUUGCAAACUUUUUACUUCCUGGUCUUUAAAAAAUUUGUUUUCCUCAUCUUACCUCAGAACCAACACUAUAAUUUCUAUUUAUGAUACUGUAAAUUUCCUGUCUUCAUUGGGGCACAAGAACCCAAUAUUUAUUUCUUAUUUUAUAUCUAUUAGAUUUUUCAUUUUCCCAGGGUGGAAGGGCAACCCAAGUCGGUGGGAUGGAGAGUGUGAAAAAAUAAUAUCCGAGAGUCUUGAUUUUUCUGGCCAUUUGAGCAUCUCUCAGCCCUGUGUACCUGGAGUCCUUUGCCUGGAUUCUUUAGAGUUUCACUCCAUUGUACACAGCUUUGCACUUAGCCAAAGUCUCAAGGAGACCUGUACUCAAACAUCUAAAGCUGUUUUUCUGGCUGGCACCCUUCUUUCCUGUGCUCUGCCCCACAAAUUCCAGCCACCUCAGCCUCCCCCAAACUGACAUCUCUCCUCCACUCAAAAUAUCACCAUGUUCUUCCUGCACUAAGACCCAGAAAAGUACCUACAGACCAAAAAGCAGAUGUUUAAACUGAUCACUUUUGUUUCCUUUUACCAAGGAUCACUCUCCUAAUCUCUUGCCCAGUAUCUAAAAAUGCUUAAUAUAUUUUGUAUGGGUUCUAUUUGUUUCACUGGGAAAGCCAGCCCAGUGCCAGUUACUCCAUCAUUGCUAGAAGUAGAAUGGUAGGAAAAUCUUUGGUAAAUUUUGCUGAAUUUCCCUUCAAGGAGAUUGUACAAAUUAUCACCUCCACCAAUUCUGUAUGAUAGUGAGUACUUACUUUUCUACCCAUUGUCAAAACUGAGUUGCACUAACUAUUUAAACAUUUCUCCACAUUUUUCCAUUUUGGGGUGAUAGCACUUUAUUUUUAUAAUUCUUUGACUAUGAGCUAGGUUCAAUAUUUUUGCAAAUGUUAUCAGUUAUUUUAUGUAUUUUUCUUUGCCAAUUUGUGCAUCUUGGAUAUUUUUCCAUUAUAUUGUUUCUUUUAAAUUGACCUGUCAGCCUUCUUUUUAUAUUUAUUCAACUAUUCAUUCAACCAUUAAACAAAUACUUAUUGUAUACUGGCUAUGUUUCAGGCCCUGUUUUUAGUGCUGAGGACCCAGCAGUAUGUUGACUAUACACUGAUGAAUUUUAUAUUAUAAUGAGUAAAGAGGAGAGACAGAAUUAAUAUAAAUACAUUUGCUACAUUAAGUGAGUAUGAAGAAAAAGUAAGGUAUGGAAAAUUCAGUACAGUGAAAAGAUAUCAUGAGGAGGGUCUUCUGUUUUAUAUAAGAUUAGAGAGAAAGGUUCUUUGACAGGUUAUAUUUAAGCGAAGACUUGAAUAAACGGCAGGAAAGUGGCUAUCUGGAGGAGAGCAUCCCAUUGGAUCAAAUAGCCUGAACAAAUGUUGUCAAAUGAUUGUUGCCUGUCUCACUGAAAUAAUUGCAAAGGGCUAUGGCUAUGGCUAUGUCUAUGCUACAGCUGAAAGGGAAAGAGAGGAGAGGUGGGGUAGCUGAUGUGGGUCAAUCAGUUAGCAGGGGAAGGUAUCUAGUUACAUAUAACUUGGUGGGAAAUUGUGAAUUUAUUGUUCAUUCAUUGGAUUAAAAUGGGACACCAUUGGAGGAUAUGUGCAGAAGAUGGACAGAACUCACUUUUAUUUAUAAAGGAUCUCUCUGGUACUGUAAGGGAUCAAUAACUCGCUUUCAUUUAUAAAGGAUCUCUCUGAUACCUUAAGGGAUCAAGAAGGAAACAGGAACAGUUGUCAUGUGUCUCAAAACAUUAUUGAAAAACCUAAUAUUAAUUGCAUUAUACUGUAGUGUUACCUUUAUUAUCUACUAAAUUCUCAGAUGCAUUUGGAUUUUUUGGUUCUUUUCCUUGGAUCUCUCAGUUAUUUGCCUUUAACUUGUCUAUAUUAUUGUUAAGAUUAAAUUUCAUCUUAAUAUCUAGUAG